UUCGCCAUCGAAAGUGAACUCCUGAUUCCAGUUCUGAGCGGGCCGGCUAACCAUUCGCAUCGUCCCUCAGAUAUAAAUUGUCUUUUAAACAUCGACAUCGAGACGAGACGAGCGAAAGUUGAGAGAAAAAAGGGAGAUCAAGGGAGGAAAAGACGAACAGUUGCAACAGUUCUCGUCGUUCAUGUAUAUCAUACGUAGUAAUCGAUGAUCGUAACGUCGCUAGAACCGCCAGGAUCAAGAGAACCCGUUAGCUCUUGAUCACCGAAUAUCACUUUACCGAAUCGAAGUUCCGUCGAAUCAAAGUGUUACAUCACUCUUUUUCUGCAUCGAGGACUUUGCUUGAAACACUGAGAAUGCCGCCCGUUCGACCCGAUCGAGCUGCUGCGUGAAAGAUUAAGAGUGUGCAGUGCAGUGCAUACGAUCUAAUUCGAUUCUUGAGAAAGUUUCGCUAAAUCGGCGUUUCUCUUUCGCGCGGUCCUUCCUUCAUUUCCGUUCUUCUCACGAACCACCGGAAAUUCACGAGAAGGAAGCACGGUGACCACGGAAGCGCAAUAAACGGCUGAUACAGUGUCGUGAGAUCGAUAACUGGCUAAAGUUAGAAACACUGUUAUGUCUUCGCGGUAGUUCCGCGGCCAAUAAAGGAAUACGCGAGAGAGGUCAUCGAAAACGAGGGAACUCUUUUACGGUGAGCGAAAUAAAUCGUUCAAAAUGACGGAAGCAUCGAGAGAACCGGAACUCGCGGAUCCUGAAAAUCCUGACAAAACCGCGUUGAAUCUAGCAUCCGCAUCUAAUAAAACAAAACCACUGCCAGAACGUGGUACAUGGAGUACCAAGCUAGAUUUCAUUUUGAGCGUGGUUGGUCUAGCAAUCGGUCUGGGAAAUGUUUGGAGAUUUCCAUAUCUCUGUUACAAGAACGGUGGCGGUGCAUUUUUAAUUCCGUAUUUUUUAACACUGGUUCUUGCUGGGAUUCCAAUGUUCUUUAUGGAACUAGCUCUCGGCCAGAUGCUUACCGUUGGUGGCCUCGGUGUCUUCAAAAUAGCACCACUGUUUAAGGGCAUCGGAUAUGCCGCCGCUGUCAUGUCCUGUUGGAUGAAUGUUUAUUACAUCGUCAUUCUUGCUUGGGCUAUCUUCUACUUUUUUAUGUCCAUGCGCAGUGAAUUACCAUGGGGAAGCUGUAAUAACUACUGGAACACGAAGAAUUGCGUAAAUCCCUACGACAGAGAUUCGCUAGUAUGUUGGAAUCAAGUUACUAGACAUCAUAAUUACGUUAAAGUAUGUUCCGUCAACGACGUCAACAUGACGAUCACAGAGCUUACUGAUCCGGUCAAGGAAUUUUGGGAACGUCGAGCACUUCAGAUCAGUGAGGGCGUGGAACACGUCGGGAGUAUUCGUUGGGAACUAGCUGGUACCCUCCUUCUGGUUUGGAUUCUCUGUUAUUUUUGUAUUUGGAAAGGUGUUAAAUGGACUGGAAAGGUGGUAUACUUUACCUCCUUGUUCCCUUAUGUUUUGUUGACGAUCCUUCUGAUUCGUGGCAUUACUUUACCCGGAGCCAUGGAAGGCAUUCGAUUUUAUAUCAGUCCAAAUCUUUCCAAACUAAAAGAAUCCGAGGUAUGGAUAGAUGCUGUUACUCAAAUUUUCUUUUCGUACGGACUAGGUUUGGGCACAUUAGUGGCUCUUGGUAGUUACAAUAAAUUUACAAAUAACGUUUACAAAGACGCAUUGAUCGUUUGCUCGGUGAAUUCUUCGACGAGCAUGUUCGCCGGUUUCGUCAUAUUUUCCGUGGUAGGCUUCAUGGCCCACGAACAACAAAAACCUGUCGCAGAAGUCGCCGCUUCUGGUCCUGGAUUGGCUUUCUUAGCUUACCCUUCUGCGGUUCUUCAACUUCCUGGAGCGCCCCUUUGGUCUUGUCUCUUCUUCUUUAUGCUUCUUCUCAUAGGUUUAGAUUCUCAGUUUUGUACUAUGGAAGGAUUUAUUACUGCCAUGGUGGACGAAUGGCCGCAGUUGCUUCGCCGGCGUAAGGAAUUAUUCAUUGCGAUAGUUUGCGUGCUUUCUUACAUUAUUGGAUUAUCUUGUAUUUCACAAGGUGGCAUGUAUGUCUUUCAAAUCUUGGAUUCAUACGCAGUGUCUGGGUUCUGUCUUCUCUUCCUAAUUUUUUUCGAGUGUAUUUCGAUAAGUUGGGCUUUUGGUGUAAAUCGAUUUUACGACGCUAUAAGAGACAUGAUAGGAUAUUACCCUCUAAUGUGGUGGAAGCUAUGUUGGACUAUUACCACCCCCAUGAUUUGUGUCGGCGUCUUCAUUUUCAAUCUCGUACAAUGGACACCUGUAAAAUAUUUAGACUAUGAAUAUCCAUGGUGGUCGCAUGUGCUUGGCUGGAUGACGGCUUUAUCUUCGAUGCUUUGUAUACCUGGUUACAUGAUUUAUGCUUGGAAGACAACACCAGGAGAUACGUCUACAAAAUACAAGUUGUUAGUACGGAUAGAGGAUGAUGUAACAGGUCUACGAAUGAAAAUGGGUCAGCCAUCGGUCGAACUGACACCACUUUAACUGCCACGGAUUCAUUUUGAUCCUAAAAGGGAUUCAUUAUUUUAAUCUUUAAUACCUUCUGACUACCAUUAAUUUAACGAAUUAACUAUUUAAUGACAUUUGACAUCAUUAUCUUCGUGUAAUUUUUUUAUAAAAUUACUUCCUUCGUUCGUUCGAAAAAAAAACUUUUGCUGUGUUCCUGUUUACCAAAGAAAUUCAUGUUAUUUAAAUGAACAUUUUUUAUCGUCUAGAUAAUAAUAUAUUAGAUUCUUAUCAGAAGGAAGCUCGUAUAAAAUACAAGGCAACUAAAGUGUUCAGAAUUGUAUCUAGUUUUAGCUUAAGUAUAUUAUAGAGUAAUUUAAAGCACAUGAAAUUUUUGGCAUACACGAAUAGUUCACAAGAGAAAUGCAUUUAGAAAAUAAUCUCCCAAUCUUGUUUAUAAGAUGGAUUCUAAAAUUAAAAAUUUCAAGUACUUGAUAAGUGUUUUAAAUUCCGAAACUAUUCGUGUAAGUCUGAUUACAAAUUUAGCAGCUAUAACUUAUUUUAGCAAUAUCGGACAUGUACCAUAAAUCAAAAAUUACUGCACAUUUUGAAUGUAACUAUAUAGUACACAUAUCUACGCUGCCAUAAUUAUUAUAUUUUGCUGCUCAAUUGAUCGCUAAGCCGAAAUGUUUUUUGUUUAUAUAAAAGAUAUAUCGAUUUACGCGUGAUUUUGCAGAAAAUGUAUGUGCAAAUUUUAUUCUUAAUAAAAAUUGUAGAUUUGCAUAGAAAAUAUGGUAGUAGAUAUCCAUUACAUUAUUAAUAGGAAAAAAAUAAUUAUUAAUAUAUAUAUAAUUAAGUUGAAAAUUAUUUAAAAAUUGUUUUGGCAAAAUUUACGGUAUAUUUAGUUGAAAAUUAUUAUAACUAGUUAUUUUAAUAGUAUCUAUUGUAGUUAUAUAUGUUACGCAUGUUUCUCUCUUAGAAAAUGUAACAUGCUAAAUAAGAAUUUCAUUCAUUUGAAGAAAGAAAAAUUAAGAAAAAGACUCUGUAUGGUAACAUUUUUGGUAAAUAAAGUUAAUUAUUAAAAAGUUAUUUAGUUUUUGUUAGUAUAAUAUAUGUAUAUGUCUAUAACUUUUAUAUGUUGUUAUUUUUAGCAAUAUAAAAAUUAUACUAUAUAUUUAUUUUAUGAAAUAUAUAAUUAUAUAUGUACGUUUUCAUUCAAAUGAAAAAACCAUGAAAUAUAUAAAGUAUAGUAAGGAUAUAUGUAUAGUAGUAUACGAAGUUUCCUUAUGUUUCAUUGUUAUAUACCUUCUUUUAUUAAUUUUCAGUGGUGUAUUUUUAAAAAUAUUUAUGUUAUAUAUAAUAAUUGUCACUUUUAACACUUUACUUUCGUUAAAGAAAAAUAAGAUUCUUUCAAAUAUCAAGAUGGCAGCGCAGCUAAUCUAACAAGUGCAAAAUAAUUAGAAGUGGAAUUCCUUGAAGAAUGUCUACGUUUUAUGGUCAGACUAAUUCUACAUGUCACAGACUUAAAUUCUAAAAUAUUGAUGCGUGGUCGCCCUGCGUGUUAUAAAUACAACUUGUGGAAUUGAUUAAUUGUACAUUCAUUUUUUUAAAAAAGUAUCUCAAUUUAAUGUAACAAUAUUUAUUUACACAUAUUAUUUUUAUAUUUCUUUAGACAUACUAUUAUUUUUCGGACGUGUCCAUUUUCUGAUAACUAAAAUAUGAUAUAUAGGGUAAGACGGUAUUCGUAGAACAACCGGACAGAGGAUGAUUCUACGUGAAAAAAUAUGUCGAAAAUCUUAAAAUUUUUUCAUAUGUCGCUUUUUUCGAAACAUUUAAGUUUAAAAAUUCGUCAAAUAUACUUUAACUUGGUUAAGUACCGACUAGGUAUGAAUAAAUAUUCAGCACGCGGUUAUUAAUUAAUAUACAUAUGAAAAUAAAUCAAAAAUAUUCCAUAAUAUUUUCCUAUUUAUUGUAAAAUCUCAUUUUCAAGAAACUAAAGUUUAAACAUGUUUAAUUACGAAAUAGUUUGAUACACGCGCAUAAUAUCUCAAUCUCAAUAAUCAUUUUCAAAUCUAUUUUCCUCGAAAAAACGAAAGUAUCUUAUGAAAAAAUAUUUUAUUUUUUUCGAUUUAUUUUCACAUGUAGUUUAAACUUUUGUCGAUUAUUUAUUCUUGUCCAGUCCGGAAUUAGGCAAAUUUAUAUAUCCUUCAAAUUCUUAAAUUCAAUUUUCUCGGAAACAAAGUCUCAGAUGAAAAAAUAUCAUACUACAUCUUUUUCUUACUUUUUCACAUAGACUCACUAUUUUCUGUAGGCUGUUUUCACUGGGUGUAGGCUGAUACUAUUAGAGUGGAAAUUGUAGUACUAUGAAGAGGCAAAAUUUUUAAGUGAUGGAGGCGCCACCAUGCAUUCAUAUAUUCAUAUAUAUUAUAUAUUUUAUGACAGUACUAUAGCUGUUUACAUUAUAAUAUUACUUAUAGUGUAAGUGUUCAAUUAUUGAUUGUGCUUGUAAGUGAUUCUUGAACUUACAUAUAUUGUUUUUCAUUGUUUAUUAAAAUGUUAGAUGAAAAUAAAUUUUAAACAAAUAAACUAUAAGUGUGUAAGUAAGCACAAGGUAAAUGUUGCCAAGUAUACAUUUUUUAAAACAUUUUUUAUUACUUUAUGAAAAUAAGUAAACAAAUUAAACAAAUUCUAUCUUUAUUUUAACAAAUUUAUUUUGGAUCUAUAAUUUACAGAUGUUUGUAGUGAUUGUACAAAGUAGAAGAUUUUAUUGUUCAAUGUAAUAAACGUAGAUAAAAUAAAUAAAUAAAAUCAUAUA